CAUGCAACAAUAGUUUCUGAUAACACAAUGUGGAGUAUGACCUAUAAAUAUUAAUCACCUUCCAAAUGGUGUUUUGGAAAAGGAUUAUAGGAAAGUAAUGAUAGAAUUAUCAUCCAUGAAGAAAAAGAAAUUAAAACACCUUUGAGAAAGGUCAAGAAGAUAAAGGAUUAUCUGAAAGGCCAGUGAACUUUAGAUUCAUUUAGUCAGAAAAGACAAGAAUUACACAUACUAUAGUGCUACCAGUUGAACUUUUUUCACUUUUAAUAAAAAUUAAAAGAGAAUAACUUGAUGCGUAAUUUAUAAUUUUAUUUCUUGUUUCACGCCAAGUAUGGAUUGAGAAUAUAAAGCAAGAGUGUGAUUUUCCCCUAACUUUCAUAGCUAGAACAUCAUGUCUAUUAGUAGGAUUGUCUGUUUCGUGGUGUGUAUUGAGGCAUGAAGUCCCCAUCUCAGAGUCCGAGCAAUGGUGUCCUGGUCCUUGAUAGUUAACAGCAGAGAGGAGACACCUCAGAGUCACCAAAAAAUUCUUAGGAAUGCGGGGUCAGAGGAUGAUGGUGAUGGUGGAGGUGUUGGCAGGGUGUUUAGUUCUGGAAUUCUGUGUGUGAAAUAAAGGGAUGUUCUCCUAGAAUGAUGUCACUAGGUGUUGCUGGGUUUGAAGUGAGUUUAUUUCCCUGUUGAUCCUACGCAUCAAAAAAAAAAAAAAAAAUCAAAGCUAGAGAUUAAGGGAUAAUAGGUAAUAAACAACUAUUAUUAUCUUGGGAGUUAGUGCGAAGAGUUUCAUUUGUGGAAGAAUAACACUGGUAAUGUGGAUUCAUCAUUUCUCUUCCCAUGUCAUGCUUCUUGCUGCCUCGUUAAUUCAGUUUUCUCAGCAUGAAAAUAAAAUAACAUGUCAUUCUUCCUUGUACAUAAAUCAUUGGGUCUGCUUUGACAGAGGCUGCCUGGAGCAAAGUUUGGAAAAAAGUUUCAUGACACUUACAGACUCACUGGGAAAAUGUGUCAUAAUUAAUUACUGAUAAGGACCUUAGGCAAGGCAACCAAGUAAGGGCUCUUGGAGUAUAAUAGUCAAUGCCUUGUGCAUGGUUUGCACAGAAUGGGAAAUUAAC
rnacentral:lncRNA from 1 species